AUUGAACGCUGGCGGCAGGCUUAACACAUGCAAGUCGAGCGGAGUGAUGGUGCUUGCACUAUCACUUAGCGGCGGACGGGUGAGUAAUGCUUAGGAAUCUGCCUAUUAGUGGGGGACAACAUCUCGAAAGGGAUGCUAAUACCGCAUACGUCAUACGGGAGAAAGCAGGGGAUCACUUGUGACCUUGCGCUAAUAGAUGAGCCUAAGUCGGAUUAGCUAGUUGGUGGGGUAAAGGCCUACCAAGGCAACGAUCUGUAGCGGGUCUGAGAGGAUGAUCCGCCACACUGGGACUGAGACACGGCCCAGACUCCUACGGGAGGCAGCAGUGGGGAAUAUUGGACAAUGGGGGGAACCCUGAUCCAGCCAUGCCGCGUGUGUGAAGAAGGCCUUAUGGUUGUAAAGCACUUUAAGCGAGGAGGAGGCUCUUUUGGUUAAUACCCAAGAUGAGUGGACGUUACUCGCAGAAUAAGCACCGGCUAACUCUGUGCCAGCAGCCGCGGUAA
rnacentral:rRNA from 1 species